UACGUAGGGUGCGAGCGUUGUCCGGAAUUACUGGGCGUAAAGAGCUCGUAGGUGGUUGUCGCGUUGUUCGUGAAAUCUCACGGCUUAACUGUGAGCGUGCGGGCGAUACGGGCAGACUAGAGUACUGCAGGGGAGACUGGAAUUCCUGGUGUAGCGGUGGAAUGUGCAGAUAUCAGGAGGAACACCGGUGGCGAAGGCGGGUCUCUGGGCAGUAACUGACGCUGAGGAGCGAAAGCGUGGGGAGCGAACAGG
rnacentral:rRNA from 1 species